AAGAGUAUCCAACCUGAAGUGGAGGGAGGAGGAAGAGGGACAACUGACAGCUUCGCCGGCGAUUUGGAAGCCUCCUAAGUCCUAACAAAUGUGCCUAAUAAAUUACAUAGACCACUCCUAUGAAUGUAGUUCAAUGUGCCUACUAUUGUUUUCACAUUUCAAAUUUAUAAAAUUAGGUAGUAAACGACACAGGAAAAGUAAAGUGGCAGAUAUUUUAUUGACUAAAACUGAAAAUGAUAUUUAUGACUAUGAUUAUACUACUGAGUACCUAAAUGGAUUAAAGCGAUGUAUCUGUGUUCAUUAUUUAUGUAACAAACAAUAAACCAACCAAAAGGAGAUUUGGAUAGUUUUGUGGAAACUGGCUCUUCCCACAAAAUUAAAAUUUUUCUUUGGAAGAGCAUCCAUGAAUGGCUUCCAGUCUGCCAGCUCCUGCAUAACCGAUUCUCCUCAACCAAUGCACUCUGCCCUUGUUGCUUGGAAGAAGAAGAAAUAGUGCUUUCAUUGCUUGGUAACCUGCAGAGUAGUCAAGGAAGCUUGGAUUCGAAGCAGACAUGCAAGCUCUGUAUCAACUUCAGGUUCAUUCAACUAAUAGUGAAAAACGACAAUGGAUUCCCUAAAAAAUGACCCAAACUGCCAGACUCACCCACAACUUAUGGCCAUCUUCUUGUGGUGUGUGUGGAAGGAAAGAAACUCUUGGGUAUUCGAGAAGAACCGACGGCCUCCAUCAGAAGUUCUCUCUUCAGCGAUGAGGCUACAUCAUGAACUGCUACAGUUGUAAGCUCCCUUCAACCCCAAUUUGGAGGAACCCGAGUCCUCUUUCUUUUUGAAGCAAAAUACAAGCUAUUAUUUUUAUUAGUAUUAAAGUCUAUGUUUGGG
rnacentral:lncRNA from 1 species